rnacentral:rRNA from 1 species
CUGGGUAUAAAUCCUUUGGAAUAGGGUAUCAUAGAGGGUGAGAAUCCCGUCUUUGACUCAGUGCAUGCUACUAUGUGAUACGUUUUCAGAGAGUCGAGUUGUUUGGGAAUGCAGCUCAAAAUGGGUGGUAAAUUUCAUCUAAAGCUAAAUAUUGGCGAGAGACCGAUAGCGAACAAGUACCGUGAGGGAAAGAUGAAAAGAACUUUGAAAAGAGAGUUAAAUAGUGCGUGAAAUUGUUGAAAGGGAAACGUUUGACACCAGUCAUGCGGGUGGAAAAUCAGUCUUUUGGGGUGGGGAGUGGUGGAAGUUCAGACCGUAAGGCUGGCUUUUGUUUCAUCUCUGCACUAAAGGAUGCACUUUUUCAUCUGCAGGUCAACAUCAGUUUCUUCUGCUGGACAAAACUCCGAGAGAAGGUAGCAGCUUUGGCUGUGUUAUAGCUCUGGAGCGAUACAGUGGAGGGGACUGAGGUUUUCGCAGUGUGUGCUCUCGGGCAAGGUCGACUGGGUGCUAUGUGAUCGUUCGGUGUACAAUGCAUGCAUUUUGCGCUGUGUCUUUUACAUACUCGCCUGAAUCGACUCUUCCACGCUUAGGAUGUUGACUUAAUGGUUUUAAACGACCCGUCUUGAAACACGGACCAAGGAGUCUAACAUAUAUGCAAGUGUUUGGGUGGCAAACCCAUACGCGUAAUGAAAGUGAACGUAGGUGCGAUCCGCAAGGUGCAGCAUCGACCGAUCUUGAUAUUUUUGGAUAGAUUUGAGUAAGAGCAUAUAUGCUGGGACCCGAAAGAUGGUGAACUAUGCCUGAAUAGGGUGAAGCCAGAGGAAACUCUGGUGGAGGCUCGUAGCGAUUCUGACGUGCAAAUCGAUCGUCAAAUUUGGGUAUAGGGGCGAAAGACUAAUCGAACCAUCAGAGCUGCCUA